rnacentral:tRNA from 1 species
GCCCUGGAGGACUAGUGGUUAGGCCUCAGCGCUCUCACCGCUGUGGCCCGAGUUCGAUUCCAAGCCAGGGAA